AGUGAACGCUGGCGGUAGGCCUAACACAUGCAAGUCGAACGGCAGCACAGUAAGAGCUUGCUCUUACGGGUGGCGAGUGGCGGACGGGUGAGGAAUACAUCGGAAUCUACUUUUUCGUGGGGGAUAACGUAGGGAAACUUACGCUAAUACCGCAUACGACCUACGGGUGAAAGCAGGGGAUCUUCGGACCUUGCGCUAUUGAAUGAGCCGAUGUCGGAUUAGCUAGUUGGCGGGGUAAAGGCCCACCAAGGCGACGAUCCGUAGCUGGUCUGAGAGGAUGAUCAGCCACACUGGAACUGAGACACGGUCCAGACUCCUACGGGAGGAAGCAGUGGGGAAUAUUGGACAAUGGGCGCAAGCCUGAUCCAGCCAUACCGCGUGGGUGAAGAAGGCCUUCGGGUUGUAAAGCCCUUUUGUUGGGAAAGAAAAGCAGCAGGUUAAUACCCCGCUGUUCUGACGGUACCCAAAGAAUAAGCACCGGCUAACUUCGUG
rnacentral:rRNA from 1 species